rnacentral:rRNA from 1 species
UACGUAGGGUGCGAGCGUUGUCCGGAAUUAUUGGGCGUAAAGAGCUUGUAGGCGGUUUGUCGCGUCUGCUGUGAAAAUCCGGGGCUCAACCCCGGACUUGCAGUGGGUACGGGCAGACUAGAGUGUGGUAGGGGAGACUGGAAUUCCUGGUGUAGCGGUGGAAUGCGCAGAUAUCAGGAGGAACACCGGUGGCGAAGGCGGAUCUCUGGGCCAUUACUGACGCUGAGGAGCGAAAGCGUGGGGAGCGAACAGG